rnacentral:rRNA from 1 species
GAGUUUGAUCUUGGCUCAGAUUGAACGCUGGCGGCAUGCCUUACACAUGCAAGUCGAACGGCAGCACGGGAGCUUGCUCCUGGUGGCGAGUGGCGAACGGGUGAGUAAUGCAUCGGAACGUAUCCUGGAGUGGGGGAUAACGUAGCGAAAGUUACGCUAAUACCGCAUAUUCUGUGAGCAGGAAAGCGGGGGACCUUCGGGCCUCGCGCUCUUGGAGCGGCCGAUGUCGGAUUAGCUAGUUGGUGAGGUAAAGGCUCACCAAGGCGACGAUCCGUAGCAGGUCUGAGAGGAUGAUCUGCCACACUGGAACUGAGACACGGUCCAGACUCCUACGGGAGACAGCAGCGGGAAUUUUGGACAAUGGGGGCAACCCUGAUCCAGCCAUGCCGCGUGAGUGAAGAAGGCC